rnacentral:rRNA from 1 species
GCUACACAUGCAGUCGAACGGUAACAGGAAGCAGCUUGCUGCUUCGCUGACGAGUGGCGGACGGGUGAGUAAUGUCUGGGAAACUGCCUGAUGGAGGGGGAUAACUACUGGAAACGGUAGCUAAUACCGCAUAACGUCGCAAGACCAAAGAGGGGGACCUUCGGGCCUCUUGCCAUCGGAUGUGCCCAGAUGGGAUUAGCUAGUAGGUGGGGUAACGGCUCACCUAGGCGACGAUCCCUAGCUGGUCUGAGAGGAUGACCAGCCACACUGGAACUGAGACACGGUCCAGACUCCUACGGGAGGCAGCAGUGGGGAAUAUUGCACAAUGGGCGCAAGCCUGAUGCAGCCAUGCCGCGUGUAUGAAGAAGGCCUUCGGGUUGUAAAGUACUUUCAGCGGGGAGGAAGGCGACAGGGUUAAUAACCCUGUCGAUUGACGUUACCCGCARAARAAGCACCGGCUAACUCCGUGCCAGCAGCCGCGGUAAUACGGAGGGUGCAAGCGUUAAUCKGAAUUACUGGGCGUAAAGCGCACGCAGGCGGUCUGUCAAGUCKGAUGUGAAAUCCCC